AAGUUACAGAUGUAUGGAGCA
rnacentral:miRNA from 1 species